rnacentral:rRNA from 1 species
CUCGGCAACGGAUAUCUCGGCUCUCGCAUCGAUGAAGAACGUAGCGAAAUGCGAUACUUGGUGUGAAUUGCAGAAUCCCGUGAACCAUCGAGUCUUUGAACGCAAGUUGCGCCCGAAGCCUUAGGGCCGAGGGCACGCCUGCCUGGGCGUCACGCAUCGCGUCGCCCCCCCAACUCCGC